GAAAAAGGGGGAUUCGAGGGGAUUUUUUUAUUUUUUUUCUUUUGGCUUUCUGUAAAAUCGGGCUAUAAGAAAGCCAUUAAAACACUGUAAAAAGGGGGACUCACGCACAAAAAAACACAAUCAACACACAGACGCAUAUUGUAUCAAAGUACACGAAAUCAAUAGAGAAGAAAGGUUUUUCUUUUUUUCCUUUUCUCGAUUGGGUUCCUAUUUCUUUUCCGAUUGCUUUUCUCUUCUUCUGUUUUGCUAUUAAACAUAUAUAUAAGCAUAUAUAUAUAAUAAAAGGGAAAGGAAGUACUUACCUCGGUGACCCCGUCGUCGUUCUCAUCG
rnacentral:lncRNA from 1 species